UACGGAGGGUGCGAGCGUUGUCCGGAAUCACUGGGCGUAAAGGGCGCGUAGGUGGCUCGUGAAGCGUGCGGUGAAAGUCCGAGGCUCAACCUCGGAUCGGCCGUGCGGACUCGCGGGCUCGAGCGUUGUAGAGGCGGGUGGAAUUCCGGGUGUAGCGGUGGAAUGCGUAGAUAUCAGGAGGAACACCGGUGGUGUAGACGGCUUUCUGGACCGUAACUGACGCUGAGACACGAAAGCGUGGGUAGCAAACAGG
rnacentral:rRNA from 1 species